UAGGGAAUCUUCGGCAAUGGGGGGAACCCUGACCGAGCAACGCCGCGGGAGUGAAGAAGGUUUUCGGAUCGUAAAGCUCUGUUGUUAAGGAAGAACGAGUGUGAGAAUGGAAAGUUCAUGCUGUGACGGUACUUAACCAGAAAGGGACGGCUAACUACGUGCCAGCAGCCGCGGUAAUACGUAGGUCCCGAGCGUUGUCCGGAUUUAUUGGGCGUAAAGCGAGCGCAGGCGGUUAGAAAAGUCUGAAGUGAAAGGCAGUGGCUCAACCAUUGUAGGCUUUGGAAACUGUUUAACUUGAGUGCAGAAGGGGAGAGUGGAAUUCCAUGUGUAGCGGUGAAAUGCGUAGAUAUAUGGAGGAACACCGGUGGCGAAAGCGGCUCUCUGGUCUGUAACUGACGCUGAGGCUCGAAAGCGUGGGGAGCGAACAGG
rnacentral:rRNA from 2 species